ACUGCUCAGUAACACGUGGUCAACAUACCCAGAGGACGUGGAUAACCUCGGGAAACUGAGGAUAAACCGCGAUAGACCAUAAUGUCUGGAAUGAUUUAUGGUUCAAAUCUAUAUGGCCUCUGGAUUGGACUGCGGCCGAUCAGGCUGUUGGUGAGGUAAUGGCCCACCAAACCUGAAACCGGUACGGGCUCUGAGAGGAGAAGCCCGGAGAUGGGCACUGAGACAAGGGCCCAGGCCCUAUGGGGCGCAGCAGGCGCGAAACCUUUGCAAUAGGCGAAAGCCUGACAAGGUUACUCUGAGUGAUCUCCGCUAAGGAAAUCUUUUGACACCUCUAAAAAUGGUGUAGAAUAAGGGGUGGGCAAGCCUGGUGUCAGCCGCCGCGGUAAUACCAGCACCCCGAGUGGUCGGGACGAUUAUUGGGCCUAAAGCAUCCGUAGCCGGUUCUUUAAGUCCUCCGUUAAAUCCACCUGCUUAACAGAUGGGCUGCGGAGGAUACUAUAGAGCUAGGAGGCGGGAGAGGCAAGCGGUACUCAGUGGGUAGGGGUAAAAUCCGUUGAUCCAUUGAAGACCACCAGUGGCGAAGGCGGCUUGCCAGAAUGCGCUCGACGGUGAGGGAUGAAAGCUGGGGGAGCAAACCGGAUUAGAUACCCGGGUAGUCCCAGCUGUAAACGAUGCAGACUCGGUGAUGGACUAGCUUAAUGCUAGUCCAGUGCCGCAGGGAAGCCGUUAAGUCUGCCGCCUGGGUAGUACGGUCGCAAGACUGAAACUUAAAGGAAUUGGCGGGGGAG
rnacentral:rRNA from 1 species